rnacentral:lncRNA from 1 species
GGAAAUGUAGACGAAGCUGAGAUAAUUGACAGCUCCAUGUUAAACAUAUUUCAGCUAAACAUUUUGCUGACAAAAGAAAAAUCGAAAUUAAAGGAAUACAAUGUAGAAGUUCUUUAUUAAAAAACAUGCAUGAGUAUUCACACAAAACUCACAGCAAUUACAAUACUUGGAAUAAAAACCCCAAAAGGAUUUGCAAUGAGUGUUAUUUAGGCUAGAUUAUGUUGGUGUUACAGAAAUAUUGGUAACCCUUAACAACUUUAGAAAGUAUUCUACUGGACUACUUAUAAACCAUUAACAUACCCUUUAUAAAGUACACCAUGUAAAUUGUUGCCAAAAUACUUUACAGGUAGACAAGAAUUUCAAAACAUAAUUUAGAAACAUAUUAAUUCUCAAAUAAUAGAAAUCACUGCACUUUCCAUUUAAAACAAUUACAUUUAAUCAUUAAAAUAAAAUUUUAUUCAACCUUAAACCUAACAAAAUAAUUGUCAGCCUAAACUGAAGACUACAACACGGCAAUGUGCAAUAAAUAAAUGCAGAAAUAUUUUUUUCUUCAUUCAGAGAAUAGGCCAAUAGCAAAUAUAUCUCUUCAGAAGGCGAGGUCAGUACAGGUGCAUCAAAGCUGGGACCGAGAGACAGAAAAACAGCUUCUAUCAAGGCCAUCAGACUGUUAAAUAGCCAUCACUAGCCAGUUACUCAACCCUGCACCUUAGAGGCUGCUACCCUAUAUACAUAGACAUGGAAUCACUGGUCACUUUAAUAAUGUUUAUGUAACCGGUGUGAAAUGGCUAGCUAGUUAGCGGGGUGCACGCUUAAAGCGUUUCAAUCGGUGACGUCACUCGCUCUGAGACCUUGAAGUAGUUGUUCCCCUUGCUAUGCAAGGGCCGUGGCUUUUGUGGAGUGAUAGAUAACGAUGCUUCGUGGGAGGUAGUUGUUGAUGUGUGCAGAGGGUCCCUGGUUCGGGGCAAGGAGGGGACGGAAGCAAAACUGUUACAUUUACAUACUGCUUUACUCAUCGCAUAUGUAUAUACUGUAUUCUAUUCUACUGUAUUUUAGCCAAUGCCACUCUUUAUUUUUAGAUUUGUUUGUAUUGUUAGAUAUUACUGCACUGUUGGAGCUAGGAACACAAGCAUUUUUGCUACACCCGCAAUAACAUCUGAUAAAUAUGUGUAUGUGACCAAUUUGAUAUCAAUAAAUAACCAUCCAUUACAAUAGGCUUGCAGGGCUACUCAAAUAUAAUACACGUAUUGUUUAACAUUGUAGUUGUGUGGGAGAGAGUCCUCGUGGCCCAUUGGGGGUGAGGGGGUUACACAUCAGAAGGGGAGGCCAUUACAGAGCAGAAACUAACAGCACCAUCAGCAGUCCCAGAAGGUGACAGAGAGGACUAGGGCACAGGGCCAGCCCGGAUGAAAUGCCUGCAUUGGGACACAAACACAAAAGCAACACUAACUGUAUGGAGACAAAGUCAACAACAUCAACUCAACAAUAAAGGAGCAUACAAUUGCAUCCUACAUCCAACACUCCUUCAAACCUUGAGCUGUCCUUCUUCCACUAGAUCCUGAUUCCUCUUCUUAUUCAGACUCAAAGUUACAAAAUAUACAUGCUGAAAGUAUGUACUGACAUAAUACGCAUCUAAUUUAAUUACCCUCUGCUAAGAUCAAGACAAUGUUAGCUUCAGUGAAACGUGUAAGGCUGACUACGAGAACCCGUCGGAUAUCGAGCCCUCAUAAUUGGGAAAAAGCCCGAAUCUGGAAAUUGAGAUUUUGGUUGUUUAGGAUUAUUUAAACGCUUUACUUUAUUGUAAUGUAAAUUUCACCUUUUUUUUGUCAUUAGCCAGCAAUGUGCCCAAUGUGAAAAACGCUCAUUUAAACUUGCCUGGGAGUGUUCCAGUUGACUUGGCACAUUCAAGACAACAUGCAACAGAUCAAUGAAAUCAGGCUGGUUUAGACACAUAAUAAUUUGCUAGAUAGUUAGUAAUAUAAUAGUAUAAAGUUGUCAUUCACAAUAAACAAUGUAGUUAUGAAUACAAGUGGGUCAGACGUUCAUUUUGUCUAUAAGUAGCCGUAGGCCACGCCAGAGCAAACCUUCAUAAAAGAAGUGCACACAUUCUUCCGAUGUUGCUUGAUCAGUGGGUUGGCCUGUUCGCUGCCAAAAUGACAUGAAAAUGGAUCAAAGUAUAUAAACAGUAUUGCCUUAAUUUCAUCCGUUCAGAAUUAUUUUGAUUUUAGGUAACAAAGCAAUUGAGAUCCUAUUCUAAAACUUGGUAAGUUUGGACGUCAUUAUCUGUCAUUUUGAGCCGCAACCAAUUUCUUGCUAGCGAUUUUACAAUAAUUAUUAUCUUCAGUCACCUCAUCAUGGAUGGAGAGCUGAGAGCAUCUUCAAUGAGGAGAAAGCAAGGUAUAUUACGCUAGGUAAGUACACAGUGUAUUAGCUAGACUUUAUAAAACCUACCAGGCCUUCACUACCUGCAGAUGAUGAGGUGACAGAAGAUAAUUAUUGUAUUUGUUCAAUGUAGCUUUAAAAAAAAUAAACAUUUCACGAUAUGGGUUUCCUAGGGUUUCCCUAGGCCGCCACACAUAUGAAAAUCAUGUAAGAAAAUGGUGUACACUCGAAACAUUUCAGCAGGUGAAAGUUACUUACCACGGAAGUCAACAGGUUUGUCACCCCAGACGUUGAGCACCAUUUCGGGCGGCAGGUAGCCUAGUGGUUAGAGCGUUGGACUAGUAACCGAAGUUUGCAAGAUCGAAUCCCGAGCUGACAAGGAAAAAUCUGUCGUUCUGCCCCUGAACAACCCACUGUUCCUAGGCCGUCAUUGAAAAUAAGCUUUUACUGACUUGCCUAGUUAAAAAAAAUAGACAUAGCUGCACACGUGACAAAAGCAAGCGCUGUUUAUAGGAGAACAUGCUGAUCUGGACAAUUCACAUGAACACAAAGAAAAACAACAAUUUGAUAGGUGGCAAUACAAAACAUGGAAGAUAAACUGACAUGUCUUAUUGAAUCAUAGGCAUUUUGAAUCCGCACACUUACAGCCAGAAUGGUGUAAGUCCUUCAACCUUCACCAAAGAUGACAUGGCCAUAUCUGGGAGGCCAGCUGCAGUUAUAAGAGGAUUUGAAACUAAUUUCAGGCACUAGACAUAUUUGUGGUAGCAAAACAACAAAAGGCGUGUAAUGUACAUUACAAAAGGUGUGUGUUCAUGUACAUUACACAGUGCUCCAACCUCAAUGAAGACCUCAGGGCUCCAGGAGCUUAUGGGUCCAAAAGCCAGGCUGUGGCUCAGCAGUCCCGUUAAAGCCUCUUCUGAACAGGCCAGCCUCACAUGGCCCAGCCACAGAACUGCCGUACCGCAGCCAGGAGGGGGAGAGGGUUCCAGUGAGGAUUUCCUACACUGGACAACUUGUUACAGCUGUUCGUCACAGGUAUUGCUGGAGCAGAGAGGACAGGAGUCAGGUCAUAGACGUUACCUGCUGAGUGUUCCAGGCUCGUCUUCCUGCCAAGGUCCUGUUGGUCAACAGCAGACUAGCCCUGGUCAGCACACUGAGUAGAGGGGUGCUGUGGAGCAGGGGCUCCACCUUAUCCAACCAGCCAGUCACCUCUGGAGUGAAGGGUACAGAGGCCAGGGCUGUCAGCACAGGGCUGAGCUUCUGUAGGAAGUCCACACCCAGCCAGGGCAAGAAGGGAGGCAGCUGAGAGAGAGCCAGUAGACUGAAGCUCAAUCCCAUUCAGGAACAAGCUGGAGAUCUGAAGAGGGAUGGUCACAAGCGUAACACACACAUAUAUUUACACAGGAAUCACACAAAGUGCAAACACAAGACAUUCAACCCAUAGAUUAAUCUAGUUCACUCAUACACAUAUGAGUUUCACCUUGAAUUUUGCGGUGAAAAAUAAAGUAGUUCUAUGGUAAGGAAUAACAGCGUCAGUCUGUGUCUGUCUGUGACAGCUCCACUUACCAUGUCCCUGGGGCUCCUGAGGCCCCGGACAACACGUCCUAAUGUUGUCCUGAAUCACAGAGAAGGCCUCUGCGUUUCUGUACACCCGCAGGUCCUUUGGGUCUGACAGACACGUCAGGUUGCCAAGCCUAGGGAGACAAAGAUGAUAAUUACUCAAGCGUAUCCAAAGAUACUCUUGGAUCCCAAACAGUUGGUUACUUCAGUGUCUACCAGAAUGUUGAGUUUCAU